rnacentral:tRNA from 1 species
UCAAAACUUAACAUAAAAAAUGUGUUUCACUUACAUUGAAAAAAUAAUUAAUUAUAUAAUUAGUUUUGAA